rnacentral:rRNA from 1 species
UACGUAGGGGGCCAGCGUUGUCCGGAAUCAUUGGGCGUAAAGCGCGCGUAGGCGGCCAGAUAAGUCCGGUGUGAAAGUCAAAGGCUCAACCUUUGAAUGCCGCUGGAAACUGCCUGGCUUGAGUCCGGAAGGGGCGAGUGGAAUUCCUGGUGUAGCGGUGAAAUGCUUAGAUAUGACAUAGAACACCAAUUGCGAAGGCAGCUGGCUACUCGGAUAUUGACACUGAGGCACGAAAGCGUGGGGAGCAAACAGG